CCGUAGCUCAGCUCGGUUAGAGCGCCGCAUUUGCAAUGCGGAGGUCAGGAGUUCGAAUCUCCUCGGGUCC
rnacentral:tRNA from 1 species